rnacentral:tRNA from 1 species
GCGGCGGUAGCUCAGUUGGUAGAGCACCCGGUUGAAGCCCGGGGCGCGGGAGUUCGAGGCUCUCCUGUCGCACCA